rnacentral:rRNA from 1 species
UACGUAGGGUGCGAGCGUUGUCCGGAAUUAUUGGGCGUAAAGAGCUCGUAGGCGGUGUGUCGCGUCGGCCGUGAAAACCUGCAGCUUAACUGUGGGCUUGCGGUCGAUACGGGCAUCACUGGAGUUCGGCAGGGGAGACUGGAAUUCCUGGUGUAGCGGUGAAAUGCGCAGAUAUCAGGAGGAACACCGAUGGCGAAGGCGGCGACCUGGGUAGAUACUGACGCUGAGGCGCGAAAGCGUGGGGAGCAAACAGG